GACGAACGCUGGCGGCGUGCUUAACACAUGCAAGUCGAACGGAAAGGCCCUGCUUUUGUGGGGUGCUCGAGUGGCGAACGGGUGAGUAACACGUGAGUAACCUGCCAUUGACUUUGGGAUAACUUCAGGAAACUGGGGCUAAUACCGGAUAGGAGCUCCUGCUGCAUGGUGGGGGUUGGAAAGUUUCGGCGGUUGGGGAUGGACUCGCGGCUUAUCAGCUUGUUGGUGGGGUAGUGGCUUACCAAGGCUUUGACGGGUAGCCGGCCUGAGAGGGUGACCGGCCACAUUGGGACUGAGAUACGGCCCAGACUCCUACGGGAGGCAGCAGUGGGGAAUAUUGCACAGUGGGCGGAGGCCUGAUGCAGCAACGCCGCGUGCGGGAUGACGGCCUUCGGGUUGUAAACCGCUUUCGCCUGUGACGAAGCGUGAGUGACGGUAAUGGGUAAAGAAGCACCGGCUAACUACGUG
rnacentral:rRNA from 1 species